AGAGUUUGAUCCUGGUUCAGAACGAACGCUGGCGGCGUGCUUAACACAUGCAAGUCGAACGCGAAAGGGACUUCGGUCCUGAGUAAAGUGGCGCACGGGUGAGUAACGCGUGGAUAAUCUGCCCAAUGGUCUGGGAUAACAUUUCGAAAGGGGUGCUAAUACCGGAUAAGACCACGAAGUCUUCGGACUUUGCGGUAAAAGGUGGGGACCUUCGGGCCUACCGCAAUUGGAUGAGUCCGCGUACCAUUAGCUAGUUGGUAGGGUAAUGGCCUACCAAGGCGACGAUGGUUAGCUGGUCUGAGAGGAUGAUCAGCCACACUGGAACUGAGACACGGUCCAGACUCCUACGGGAGGCAGCAGUGGGGAAUUUUGCGCAAUGGGGGAAACCCUGACGCAGCAACGCCGCGUGAGUGAUGAAGGCCUUCGGGUCGUAAAGCUCUGUCAGAGGGAAAGAAAUGUAGAGGUGCUAAUACCACUUUUACUUGACGGUACCCUCAAAGGAAGCACCGGCUAACUCCGUGCCAGCAGCCGCGGUAAUACGGAGGGUGCGAGCGUUGUUCGGAAUUAUUGGGCGUAAAGCGCGUGUAGGCGGUUUGUUAAGUCUGAUGUGAAAGCCCCGGGCUCAACCUGGGAAGUGCAUUGGAAACUGGCAGACUUGAAUACGGGAGAGGGUAGUGGAAUUCCUAGUGUAGGAGUGAAAUCCGUAGAUAUUAGGAGGAACACCGGUGGCGAAGGCGGCUACCUGGACCGAUAUUGACGCUGAGACGCGAAAGCGUGGGGAGCAAACAGGAUUAGAUACCCUGGUAGUCCACGCCGUAAACGAUGAGUACUAGGUGUUGCG
rnacentral:rRNA from 1 species